GGGCUUGUGGUUUAGUGGUAUAAUACUCCCUUAGCAUCUAAACGGCUUCUCUCAAGUAGCCCACUAAGAAUUGGGAGUGGUCCGGGGUUCGAUUCCCCGCGAGUCCA